UCGAGUUGUUUGGGAAUGCAGCUCUAAAUGGGAGGUAAAUUUCUUCUAAAGCUAAAUAUUGGCGAGAGACCGAUAGCGCACAAGUAGAGUGAUCGAAAGAUGAAAAGCACUUUGGAAAGAGAGUUAAAAAGCACGUGAAAUUGUUGAAAGGGAAGCGCUUGCAAUCAGACUUGUUUAAACUGUUCGGCCGGUCUUCUGACCGGUUUACUCAGUUUGGACAGGCCAGCAUCAGUUUCGGCGGCCGGAUAAAGGCAUUGGGAAUGUGGCCUCCACUUCGGUGGAGGUGUUAUAGCCCAGUGUGUAAUACGGCCAGCCGGGACUGAGGUCCGCGCUUCGGCUAGGAUGCUGGCGUAAUGGUUGUAAGCGACCC
rnacentral:rRNA from 1 species